UGAUUGCCGGGCCGAGAGAUAUGAUGA
rnacentral:sRNA from 1 species